CGGUGGACGCGGGGUGCCGCUGUGCGGCUGAGAUCACACCCGUCGAACCUGAUCUAGCUCGUACUAGCGAAGGGAACGUCAGAUGUCGACGA
rnacentral:ncRNA from 1 species